GCCGGGGUAGCUCAGGGGUAGAGCAACGCACUCGUAAUGCGUAGGCCGCGGGUUCAAAUCCCGCCUCCGGCUCCA
rnacentral:tRNA from 3 species